UGCGUAGGCUGUGCAGAAAGUUGGGUGUGGAAUACCUCGGCUUAACCGAGGAAUUGCGCCCAAAACUACUGUGCUAGAGGAAGAUAGAGGUGAGCGGAACUUAGGGUGGAGCGGUGAAACGCGUUGAUAUCCUAAGGAACACCGGUGGCGAAAGCGGCUCACUGGAUCUUAUCUGACGCUGAGGCACGAAAGCAGGGUAGCGGAACG
rnacentral:rRNA from 1 species